rnacentral:rRNA from 1 species
GUCUUUUUGGUUAUUUAAUAUAAAGUCUGGCCUGCCCACUGAAUUUAUUUUAAAGGGCCGCAGUAUUUUGACUGUGCAAAGGUAGCAUAAUCAUUAGUCUUUUAAUUGAAGGCUGGUAUGAAUGGUUGGAUGAGAUACAAGCUGUGUCAUAAUAAUUAAUUUUUGAAUUUACCUUUUUAGUCAAAAGGCUAAAAUAAAGUUAAAAGACGAGAAGACCCUAUAGAGCUUUAUAUAAUUUAUAUUUAAAUUAUUAAGAUUUUUUAAAUUUAAUUAUUUUAUUAUAUUUUGUUGGGGUGACAAUAAAAUUUAUAAAACUUUUAUUUUUAUUAACCAUUUAUUUAUGAUUAUAUGAUCCAGUUUUAUUGAUUAUAAAUUUAAGUUACCUUAGGGAUAACAGCGUAAUUUUUUUUGAGAGUUCUUAUCGACAAAAAAGAUUGCGACCUCGAUGUUGGAUUAAGAGUAAUUUUGGGUGUAGAAGUUCAAAGUUUAAGUCUGUUCGACUUUUAAAUUCUUACAU